GCCGAGCGGAAACGGGUGGAAAGGAAGUACGGGAAGGGAGGCCGGGGCAGGUUUCCUCGUUCGCGCGGGGAGUCGGAGGAGCGGCAGGAGGGGCGCGGAACGACGACCACCGGCGGCCGGCAGGGCCCGCUGAGGCCGCCGCCAUGGCCGUGUCGGAGAGCCAGCUGAAGAAGAUGCUUGGCAAGUACAAGUACAGAGACUUGACUGUUCAGGAAACUGUCAGUGUUAUUACCCAGUACAAAGACCUCAAGCCUGUAAUGGAUGGAUAUGUUUUUAAUGAUGGUUCAUCAAGAGAACUGAUGAGCCUCACAGGAACUAUUCCCGUAAAUUACAAAGGUAACACAUACAAUAUCCCAAUAUGUCUGUGGCUGUUGGAUACAUAUCCAUACAAUCCACCAAUCUGUUUUGUUAAGCCAACUAGUUCAAUGACAAUUAAAACUGGGAAGCACGUGGAUGCAAAUGGCAAGAUAUACCUUCCAUAUCUACAUGAAUGGAAACAUCCACAAUCAGAUUUGAUUGGCUUGAUUCAAGUGAUGAUUGUGGUGUUUGGAGAAGAACCUCCAGUCUUCUCUCGGCCUACCAUUUCAGCAGCCUACCCACCUUACCAGGCAACAGGACCACCCAACUCUUCCUAUAUGCCAGGAAUGCCAAGCGGAAUGCCUCAUUUCCCUCCUGGACCACCACCUAACCCAAGUGGUUACCCAAACUAUCCUUACCCUCCCCCUAGCGGAUCAUUUCCACCAACAACUAGCACACAACACUACCCUUCUCAGCCUCCUGUAACUACUGUGGCAGAUGGCAGAAGAAAGCAGAAACAGGUAUGGAUAUGUGGUCAUUCUUACGUUUUCUGGGCAGAAAAAAGAGCACUUGAAAGAAGCUUUGGCCCACAGUUGGGCAUUCGACUGGAGGAUGCCAAACUACAUUGGCUAGGAAAGAGUGGCAUGACGUGGGAUCAGUUGAUACCCAGCCUAUUGCACACACGGCGGCGUCUAACAGAUCCUGAUAUAUUGGUGGUCCAUCUAGGAGGAAAUGACCUUGCGACAUAUGAAGCUUUUAAUAUCAUAAAACAAAUGAAGAAAGAUAUAAUACACAUUAAGAGAACAUUCAAGAACAGCAUCCUUGUCUGGUCUAAUAUUGUACCCCGCAAAGUAUGGAGCCAAGAGAUGUCCCAUGAAUUUAUGGAGAAAAGAAGGAAGAGAGUGAAUGCUGAAAUCAGCAGUUUUGUGGAACGUAUUGGAGGGAUUAUAAUCAAACACGAGUCACUUGUCCCAGAGUCUCCAGGAUUGUUCCAUCUAGAUGGUGUUCUCUUGUCUGCAAGUGGCACAGAUGUCUUCAACCUGGAUUUAUUAAGUGUUUUAGAGACUUUGAUCUAACUGUUUCUUUGAAGAAGGAAUGAUAGAUUUCAAUUUAAGCAAGUAUGGAAGGUCUGUACAGACAGAGAUUAUUAGAAGGUUGUGAACAGUGGUAAUUUGAAUUUUCAGGCAGUGGAAUUGCACUGUUAAUAUGGUGAUGGGUAUUAAUUGAGUAAUGUAAUUGCUAGUGGCAUUGUUCUGCAACCACUGCAGUAAGACAUUUGCCGAUAUAUUUAACUGUUUUUUGAAAUUCUGUUUUCUUCCCCACCCCAUUGAAUUCAGUUUGCUUCUACAGUGUGCUUAGAGUCACUGCCCAGCAGUUUAGUUUCCCUUAUUGAUAUUCCCAUCUUAAAAAUGCUCAGUGAAUAGCACGAGGUGAUAGCUACCUAAAAUAUGGGUACAGUAAUAGGUUACAAAGCUAUUUUAUGUGGGUAGAUCAGAAUAAAACAUCAAAAAAUGUAACCUUGGGAAAGGUGGGUCUGACUAGAGCAGGAAAACAAACUGAAGCAUUAGGGCUUCAUUAUACAUGGACUCACAUAUUGCUCUAGUUAUAGGUUAAGCACUUAUGCUUCAUGAGUGCUUAUUAAUAUAUAGGGCAGGCUCAGAGGUAAAAAAUUUAAUAAACCAUAGUUCAUUAAGCAAGAAUAAACAUCAAGCUUAUUCCCGCCUCCCCAUGUGUGCCAGGUUCAGCCCUAGCUGCUUUUAAGUCACACUUUCCUGUUAAAUCUGAAAUGGGGAAUUGUGGUUUAAUAUAAGUUUGCUAAUCAGAAUUCAGACGCUGGUUAGUAAAUCAACAUUAAACCAGCGCUCCCAAUUUCAGACAUAAUGGGAAACUGAGUUAAAGAGCCUAGGCUCCAAGUGCUAAAACCAGCCCACGACGUGCUUGCACCAGAUGCUCCUUCAUGGCUUAUUCAACCAGGAAUGUCACAUCCAAAAUCCUAUACAAGUUUUAGACACUGAAAGUUUUAAAUGUUACUGUGCAAGUCAUUCAUCGCAAAAGAUCAUGACUGCCCAGAGCUAUUAUGGGACUUGUUAAAACUGUGCGAAGGUACAUAUUCUGGUUACCUUGAAGCUUGCUGAACUGUCUGACAGUGACUGUAUAACAGUUUUGCCAUGUUUUGCUUUGGCAUUACUGUGUCGCCUUUCCUGGAAAAAAGGCAGAUUGUCUGCAUCAGAAUUUGCUUUUAAAAUAUAAUCUAAUAGAACUACCAUUUUUCACAAUCACUGUUAGUACUUAUUAGGAAACAAAUUGCAGGGAAGCAUAUGCUUUUUUAUUUUAAAAGAACCCUGCCGUGAACUUGGUUAUUCUUAAGGAGAGUUGGUUGUGAAUGAAGCCACAUGAGACAAUAUCCUUCAGUGUUUCAGUAGCACAUGGAGCACUUGGAGGUUGAUGCUGGAAGCUAAAAUUUAGCACAAAUGUGAUUCUGGAAUGCAAGGGCAACAGGAAUAGAAUGUAGCAGACAAUAUUGAUAUUGAUGUUGCUUCUAAAAGAAUUGAACUUUACUGCAGUUUAAGAUGAAUGCUUGGAUUACAUUUAUAUUUUUUUUACAUGACCUCUCUUUGCAUACCACACUGGAAAUUUCCCACUAGAUUGGGGGAGAACUAUAUAGCCUUUGGGAGGGACAGGAGCAGAAUUUUACUUGUUUAUAGUGUGGUCCAGCUCAUUCCUUUAAGGACAUGGCAAGCACUUACUGGUGCUUACAACUGACUACAGACUUCAUUUUGAAUACUUGCUUGUAGUAGGGGCGUUAAGUUCCAGUAUGGAUCAGGGUCUAUCUUUUCUACCUUUUUGAUGUUGGGCAGUGCUGUUUGAUCCAUCUAAUUUGUAUAAUUUGGAGAUUUGUGUUCUAACAAUAAAAUACUAGUAUUUAUUUCUUAGUCCUUACAUUCUUUGUUAGUGAACACUUAGUACUGAAUGAUGUGAAUAUAUAUAUAUUGAUUCAACCCACAGUCAAACAUCCCAGAAAUGGUGAUACUUUCCUCAACUAUAUUUAGGUUGUAUAAAAAUAGUGUGUUUAAGUAAGCUACAACUACUCAUAAUUUUAUUAAAGCAAAACUGUUGGUGACCAUUAUCUGCAUGAGAUAAAGUAAAGCUUUGGAUCCAGACUUUGUCUUACAUAAGUUGAAAGGACUUCUACCUCCACAGGGCAGCUCACUGAUCUCCCCCUUCCACUGCAUUUCCUCACCACCCAUAUCAUACUGUUAUUGAGGUUCCCUCUACUCUCAAGGGUGGUUUUUGGAAGAAUGCAAGGGAAAGCUUUGAGGCAAAACUGUGUUGCUUUUUGGAUCCAUGGUAUUCAUUUUGUUGGGGCUGUUAAAAUUACUAUACAGUAUAUGGUUUACUUAUGGUGGUAUAUAGUAUUUCAAGUAUGUUGCAUGUUUAUGAAUGAGCGACAAAUAUUAAGUUUGAUUUUUAUAUUUUCAUGUUAGCUCACAGCGUCUCCCUUGCUCGCACAUCUCUACGAACAAGGUGGUAUUUCAAAAAUCUUUGUUCUUGUUGGAAUAGUUCCAGUUUCUUGGGGACACUGGAAUACAGCAGUGAGCAGAGCAACAUCUUCCACAGGGUCUCUUUGGUUUGCAGACUUAAUUAAGCUUUGGGGAGUAAGUAGCACUUAUAUAAUUAGAAUGGAAUUCCCUAAAAAGACUAGUAGAGAUGGAUAUCAGGGUUCAUUCUUCUAAGAUUUAUUUCCGAAAAUAUAUUAACAUUCAGGUGUUCAAAGUUCACUUAUGUUAUCAUGGAACACAGGAUCCUGAUCUCCCAAUGCACAAGUGAAAAACACUUCCACUGGGCAAGAGGUGGAAUUUCCUUCUGCUGGAAAUUCCUUGCAGCUCAUGGGGGCCAUUAUGGAGGGCUCUCCAACCUUGGAUGUUCUGCCACUAGAAGCAGGGUCUGAAAAAGAAGAGACAAUAGCUCAAUGAGCAGAUAUUUACUGGCAUUGGCCGGUAAAAGGUUCAGUGAAGACUGACCCCAGGCUGAUAUCAAUGUUCUUUCCUUUCACUUUUUAUUCUCAGAGAAUGGGUUUUUUGCUCAAAGAUAUAAGCUGCAUAUUAAGGGUUUAUGGCAGUGUUAAUCUUAAGGUACUUAAUUUGUGGAGUGGGGGUGGGGGUGGAAGAAAUGUCUUACCUGAAGUUCAACUAAACAGAGGCCUAGUAAGGCAGUAUUUUCUGGAAGUCAUUCAAACUUGUUGUAGGGCCCCCAGCUGAUGGACUUCCACAAUGUAUUAAUCUUUUUAAAUGGACUGUCUACUCUGGCAGAUCUGAUACAACUAAAGCAAUUUAGUCUGUUUAAUCUUGCACUUCCAUCUCUCAAUGUUAAUAUUUUGUUUGACUAUCAUACCCCUUCUGAAAAGUCAACUGAAAAGAUAAUUAAAAUUCUUUCCUAGUUAAUAAUUGAGGGAUACACCAUUUUUGCUUUGUUUAUGCUACAUUUCACAUUGUCCUGGUGGUGAUCUAUAUUCAUCAUUAUUAAAUUAAAUGAAACAUCAGUUUCUUCCAUUGCCAAGUUGAUAUUUGGCUGUUUCUUUUCUGUCUGGGUCAACUGCUAGUCUGCAGUACUGUAAGGUCAGUACCAUAAGGUCAGUUCUGAAACUAGACUCUGUAUAGCAAAGGUUAAAUGUCUGAGUUUUCCCUUGGACGCAUGGCUGCAGGCCAGGAACUCUUCUCUAAGGGUGGCUAAUUAUGGAAGUGAUUGAAAAUGUUAAGGGUUCAUGUUCUUGAAGGUGCUCUUCAAAUCAAGUGUUCCUGGUAUUAAUUGGUAUAUGGUGGUAGCCUAUCUUGUUCUUUAUACAUCUAAAACCAUAUAUAUGUACAUGCAGACUUACUUAUUUCUCUGACUUUAAGCUCUGGACAAAAGCGUCAUAAAUAAACAGCCAAGAAGUUGAAACUGGUUUUAAGAUAUAUUUAUAUGAUAUAUGCUUAUGGUGGAAAGAAACUUGGAGCAGAGAGAGAUGGAAAUGUGGGUCUAGCAUUUGAAUAGGAUUUUGUUUUGCUGGCUUUUUCAAGAUCAUUUUCUGGAUACCCAUAUAGGCUGAUAAUCCUAAAUUAACAUUGAGUAGACCCACUGAAAUAAGUGGGCUUAAGUCCAUUGAUCUAAAUGGGUCUACUUCUGAAUGAGUAACAUUUGAUAACACUCAUAGUUGCUUUGAACAGUGUUUACCUUCCUCUUUAGCAUAGCUUCCUGAGUUGAGCCAAGUGGUUUGUUCGUUUUGUUCAGGUUUUUCUUUUUCUUUUUUUUUGAGGUUUUUUCUUUUUUGCUGUUGUCCUACUGUAUUUUAAUACAGUUUCUGAAGCGGGAUUAGCAAAAUAAGGUUAAGUUACUGUUUGAAACUGUCUUCAUGAUUUUCUUACUCUGAAUAAUUCGCAUUAAACAGGACAAGUAUAGACAGUACUGUAGUAGUAGUAGAAGAAGAAGAUAAAGCUUGGUAUGGAAAACACAGAAAUAGAUAGUUUCAGAACAAAUCCUUCAUUUAUUUUGUUGAAAGUGUUAUCUAGAUCAUUCAGAAGAAAACGAUGCAGCAUGUUGCAAUUUAAGACCGAUUUCUGCAGUAAUCUCUUGCGUGCAGCUAUCUUCAGGUACAAUAUGCAGCACAGGGCGAAUAGGGAAGACACUUAAGAGAACCUCUUUAGUGAUUUGGCAUGGUACUUCAAAUUCAACCAAAGGUAGCCUUUGCUCUUAUUAUUAGGAACAAGUGUAAGUGUGUGUUUACUUGAUUGAUAAGGGGGCAAAAUAUGAAAAGGCACUUUGUGCUGCGUAGCUCUCAAAUAGUACAAAUCACCUGUCAAAAACUUUUGUUAUCACUAUGUUGUGGAAAUGGGCUGUACACAUUUUCAUCUACCCAAUCACCAGGCUGCCUUGGGAUUUGGCAGUGCAGACAAUCACAUGCUGACAUCACUGCAAACCUACCUUAAACCUUCCAGAAUACUUGUUUCCAUUUGUCCUACCGCAUAGCAGCUAGUCAUUUCUUAAUCUCUUAAAGGCAAACUUUGAUGAGUUCUUAAAAUCAGUUGAGAGCGAUUAGAGGGUUACAUCUUUUGAUGUACAUAAACAUAUUUGCUUAGAUCACUUAAGUUACACUCCUAUGUUUGGCUAGUUAAAACGUCUGAAUGUUUGCAGUUCACUCAGAUCACCUGAGAUUAUAUUAUAGAACAUCUACUACAUACUGUUUUGCCCCGAGUCUUUUCAGUAGCUGGGACAGCACUUGAUGACACAACACAUUCCAUGGUGCCCCUCUAAAGCUAAAAGAAUAUCAAACAAUAUCCUGGCUUCCAUCUCUGUUUUAGCCUGAAUUGUAUUCAUUUUCUUGUUGCACAAGUAUUUGAAUAAAUGUUUUAACAACAAGCUAUGUUCUUAUAUUUAAUGAGAAUAUGGCUUGUUUUAAAAGCAACACAACAACCAUAUGUUCUAAGGGUGUUGUUGACUCUGGCCUUUGCUUAUUUCUUAGCUGUCAUUUUGGAACCUGCGGGAAUUUGUUAACAUGAGUUUUGAUGUCUUUCUUUAUUUGGGCUCGCCUUGCAAAUUGUGUACAUCUAGCAGCAUGUAUCAGCGUAACUGUAGAACUGUUCAUUCUUCAGAAAUAUGCAUAUAAUUCAAGUUAAAACUAUUAAAAGUUAAAUACCAGUGAUUAUGUAAAAGUGGGAGGCAUUUUUAGAGGUGUUGGUAUUAGGAGAUUUUCCAGGAUGUUUUGGGGCCCCUUGUCCCAUAAGAAUGUCUUACUAAAAUCUGUAUUCUUAUUACACUUUUACUAUUAUAGAAAAUUAAUAAUGGCAAUGUUUUUGUUUUGUUUUUUGGAUAAAAGUUUCAUGGGGGACUCAGAUGAUACGCAAAUGUUUAGAAUCAGCUAUGUGCAGAACUCUGAGCUGUAAUAAUUUUUUUGUAUUCAAAUAAGUUUUGGCUUAAAUUGCUCAACAUUUGUUAUGCAGAAGGGUUUCUUUAUUUGAUACCAGUUUUCAGUGUUCCUUACAUAUGAUACCACGCCCAUACAUAGUCAAGAGAAGAACAGAAAGACUUUAGGGAGCAAUGAUCAACAUAAUGGACAUUAGCGUCAGACUUUGAACUUUGUUUGACAUGAACCCAAGACAAGAAUGGAAAUGAGAGCAAAUAAAAAUAAUCUGGUGUUCACUGACAUUGGUAAUUGGACUUUAAAAGCGUUGAAGAAAUGAAAUUGUGGUACCCAUCCGUCAUUAAUUUUAUUCUGAAGUUAAGAAGCUUAUAUCCAUUUAACGAAAAGAAAAUGAAAGCAGGAAGAAUGAAAUACCGAAAAUGAAUUAACAACGUAUCCUCAUAAAGCGAAAUCCCAGGUCUGGAGUCGGAAGUUCCAAUCAGGGACUGUGAUUCCAUAAAGUCAUUUUGGCAUGAAGAUCCCACCAGAGUGAAUGAAGCAGCAGCAAGACAGAGCAGAUCCAGAAAUGGCAGCAUGAACAGACGUUUUCCGUACUUUGCUUACUUUUGCUGAGUGGACAAAAAUGCUGCAGGUGGGCUGGUGAGGAAACUGCUGGGGUGGACCCAUACCAUACUUUCUACACACGAUAAGUGCUAUUCGGGGCAAUGGGAACACCUCAAAAGCAAAAAGAAUGGACUGAUAAUUGUGAGAGACUGUAAGAAGAAGAGUUUUAAUGUUAAGAGAACACAUGGAUGGUGGCAAAUUCAAGCUGCAUAUGAAACCUGUGGGGCUCUUUGAGUUGGUGUGUUAAGGUCCCAGCAGAGACGCCACCAUUAGCGAAGAUACCAUUCGAGCUUCACUUAUUUCAGCAGUCAGUGAUAAGUUGAGAUGGAGAAUGAAAGAAGAAAUGGACCGUGCCCAAGCAGAGCUCAAUGC